rnacentral:misc_RNA from 1 species
AAGUCGUAACAAAGGUGAACCUGCGCGAUCAUUAACACGUAUCCAACGUUAAAACAACCCCGUGAACUCAGCUGCCCGUGAAAGCAGCAAUCCCUGGUAACAUUGUUGACCAGCUUAUGAGUCAGGACCUCUGCAGAUUGUGAUAUUUUUUUGCUACGGUUGAGCGAUUGCAUCUAGACCAAGUAAUCAGUGUUCUGAAAGUGUCAUUGAUUGUGUAAGGAUGGCGCAGGCCCACACGGCCGGCGACCGGGUCACCGGGCUCUUCGCCGUCGCACGGCACCAACAACUGUUAACAAUGGAUAUCUUGAUUCUC